AUGGCAGGAAUCAUCAACAAGAUCGGAGAGACUCUUCACAUCGGAGGAGGACACAAGAAAGAAGAUGAACACAAAGGAGAGAAGAGUCACGACGAGAAGCAUGAAGGAGAGAAGAGUCAUGAUGAUAAGCACAAAGGUGAGAAGAAGGACAAGAAGAAGAAGGAUAAGAAGAAGAAAGAACAUGGUCAUGGACAUGAUCAUGAUAGUAGCAGCAGCAGUGACAGUGAUUAG